UACGUAGGUGGCAAGCGUUGUCCGGAUUUACUGGGCGUAAAGAGCGCGCAGGCGGUCGUGCAAGUCGCGUGUGAAAGCCCCCGGCUCAACUGGGGAGGGUCACGCGAUACUGCUCGACUCGAAGGCAGGAGAGGGAAGUGGAAUUCCCGGUGUAGUGGUGAAAUGCGUAGAUAUCGGGAGGAACACCAGUGGCGAAGGCGGCUACCUGGACCAGCACUGACACUGAGGCACGAAAGCGUGGGGAGCAAACAGG
rnacentral:rRNA from 1 species